rnacentral:rRNA from 1 species
UACGUAGGGGGCAAGCGUUGUCCGGAUUUAUUGGGCGUAAAGAGCUCGUAGGUGGUUCGGUAAGUCGGAUGUGAAAUCUCCAGGCUCAACCUGGAGGGUCACUCGAUACUGCCGUGACGUAGAGUUCGGUAGGGGAGUGGUGGAAUUCCUGGUGGAGCGGUGAAAUGCGCAGAUAUCAGGAGGAACACCCGUAGCGAAGGCGGCACUCUGGGCCGAUACUGACACUGGAGGAGCGAAAGCGUGGGGAGCGAACAGG